rnacentral:rRNA from 1 species
AUUGAACGCUGGCGGCAUGCCUUACACAUGCAAGUCGAACGGCAGCACGGGAGCAAUCCUGGUGGCGAGUGGCGAACGGGUGAGUAAUAUAUCGGAACGUGCCCAGUCUGGGGAUAACGUAGCGAAAGCGUACGCUAAUACCGCAUACGAUCUAUGGAUGAAAGCGGGGGAUCGCAAGACCUCGCGCGAUUGGAGCGGCCGAUAUCAGAUUAGGUAGUUGGUGAGGUAAAGGCUCGCCAAGCCGACGAUCUGUAGCUGGUCUGAGAGGACGACCAGCCACACUGGGACUGAGACACGGCCCAGACUCCUAC